UGAUCUCUUUGUGCCCACGUGUCCC
rnacentral:piRNA from 1 species